rnacentral:rRNA from 1 species
UAUAGGUUUGGUCCCAGCCUUCCUGUUAACUUUCAAUAGACUUAUACAUGCAAGCAUCCACGCCCCGGUGAGUAACGCCCUUCGAAUCACACAGGACUAAAAGGAGCAGGUAUCAAGCACACACUCUUGUAGCUCACAACGCCUUGCUUAACCACACCCCCACGGGAGACAGCAGUAACAAAAAUUAAGCCAUAAACGAAAGUUUGACUAAGCCAUAUUGACUAGGGUUGGUAAAUCUCGUGCCAGCCACCGCGGUCAUACGAUUGACCCAAGCUAACAGGAGUACGGCGUAAAGCGUGUUAAAGCAUCAUACUAAAUAGAGUUAAAUUUUAAUUAAACUGUAAAAAGCCAUAAUUAUAACAAAAAUAAAUGACGAAAGUAACCCUACAAUAGCUGAUACACCAUAGCUAAGACCCAAACUGGGAUUAGAUACCCCACUAUGCUUAGCCCUAAACACAAAUAAUUAU